CCAUCUAGGUUACCAUCUAUGUCAAGUAUGCAAGUAUACAUAGAGUAUAUGGUUAUACUUAUUUUAUAUAGUACUGCAGUGGUAUCUUAGUAAUACAUUAAAAAAUAUGGGUUCUUUUGAAAAAAAUUCGCAUACUAAGAUUUGAAGUAUCUUAUAAAAUAAGCAUAUAAACAUACUCAAACUGAUAAAUUAGAUAAAUUAGUACGUAAUGUAGUUUAUUGAAGAUGGAAUAACUACUCUCCAGAGAAUAUAGAAAACACAUCAUAGAUGGUUUAGUAUGAGCAUGUACUACAUCUACAUACACUUCAUCGGGCCAUCUACGCCCUAAAUUUAGAGAUAUACACAUGGCAGUAACUACUCCCUGGGAGUAGGAAAUAAUUUAUAUAUAUACAUUUGACUUGCUAGGAAUGCGCAUUUGACUUGAUUUGACUUGCUCUUCAUUAUAACCAUAAUAUAAAGUAUAUAUGCAAUGUUGAUUUCUGCUGUUAUACACUUAUCUGCUUAAUGUUGAGUCUGAUUUUGUUGUUUUCAUGAUGACCAAAGUUUAUUUUAACAUCGCAGUUGGUUGCGACCGCAGCCUUGUUCCUGGCGGCAAAGUCAGAAGAAACAGCAUGCCUUUUGAAUACUGUUCUUAGGGCUUCAUGUGAGAUUUCUCAAAAUCAAGAAUUCAAUCUGUUUCGUUACAUGCUAUGUGGUCAGGAUUGGUUUGAACAGUACAGAGAGAGUGUAAUACAGACAGAGCAAAUGAUACUUACAACACUUGAUUUUGAACUUGAAGUAACCCACCCAUAUGCUGCCCUAUCCUCUGCUUUGGGCAAACUGGGACUCUCCCAUACUGUUCUACUUAAUGUGGCUUGGAAUCUGAUCAAUGAAGGUUAUUAUAGGAAACAGCCAAGUUAUCUUGUAAAACUUUCACUCUAGUGGACACCGUGAGAAUUUUGAUAGACACGAGCUUUGUCAUAUUGCAAUCUCCGCUGUUUGGAUAGCUCCUCUAAAUAUACCUGGGCACUAUACUUGGGUCUUUAAAUAAUAUCUUGCAAAUAUUUAGAUGGCACACCAUAUAGUGGUCAUCAAUGCUGUUCCAGUCUGGCACAAAGACAAAAAAAAAGGAACGUUCAUACAAAAAAAAUCUGUGGAUUUGUAGUUAGUUGGACUGGAAAGAAGUUACAAUACACAGUUCAUAGGAUCACAGUUUACCCACUAACCACAUCUGAAGGACUGCAUAUUGGUUGUUCUUUCUGCACUCUGCAUUUCUAGACUAGAAUGUGGUCUGUGCAAUGCUGGGUGACAUUGGAUGAAGUAAAUUCUUAUAGACUUUAAGGGUGGUUUGACUAUAAUGUGAGAUCAAAUUAUUUUCAAGAAUAUAAUAUCCGCGUUGUUCACUCCACUUGUCACAGAAUAAGUGCCUAUGAAUAUCUUCAACUCUGUCAACCAACACAGAGUAACUAGUUACUUGUGGUUUGCUCAAUUGCUGUCGGUGCCGGCUUGCAGUAUUUUCUUGUUGGUGUUGGCGUGUACGAAAAUAUGGAUGGAACUUCUUGCAAAACUCACUGAAGUUGUGUAAUAGAUUUUCCAGAUUUGGUCUUUGUGUAUUCUUCAUCAACACUUUUUAAUCCAUACAAUAGUUUUGUCUAUCCUGAUGUAUCUGUACCUUUCAUGAUUAAUAAAAAAAUAUGUUUUCCACUGUAUGGAGAUUUAUCCAACUGCAGUGAGAAUAUUAAAUUAUUAAUUCCUGAGUUAUCUUUCUUACUAUGCUCUACUCCCUCUGUUGUUUUUGGUUUCCGUGCCGUAAGUUUAGAAAAUGCGUGCAACAUUUGUAUCUCCAAAUAAAUUUAAUAUUAAAAUAGAUUCAACGUUCUAUCUAAUGAUAUUAAUUUAUUAAUUUUGUACCAUAAAUACUAAUACAUAUAUAUAUAUAUAUAUGUCAAAGUAGUUUCUUGGGAAGCAAAAUGACAAUUCCAUUGUGAUGUGAAUCUCGGACUUGAAAUCUUUCAUGGGGAUGUUGCUCAUUGAUGGUGUGGGUAUUGUAGUAAAUGAAUUUGCAAAUAAAUUGAUUAUUAUUAGGGGUGAAUAUUAAGAAAUUGCUGGGAUUCAUGUCAAACCGUAGAAGGUGUUCAGGAGCAAACUGAAAAGGCUAGAAAGGUAUACAUUUGGGAGAAGUGACAAUGUUUUUGGAUGCAAAUUUGCUAAGCUUGCAUGUCAUAUACACUUCUUAUUUUGUGCAUCAUUCAUCUUCAGGGGUAACUAACUUCAUCUGAAAUCUGAUAUGUAAUUGCAUUUUUUGAUGUGAUUACAAAGUUUGCAAACAUGGCAAAAUAUUGAUGGGGCUGUACUCUUUUGAUCAGUAAAUAAGAUUUUUAAAUGAUGUCAAUUGACAGAUGCACUGCUAGAUAUUAGAAAAACACUGCUGGGCUUUUCAUGUGUCAGCUUCAAGUUUGAUGAGCCAUUUUACUGGAUUGCUUGUUUUUAUAUUCUCAGUGUGAAGCUUUUAGAAGGUUAUUUUUUUUAUAUUCUACAGCCAUUGACGUUGUAUUUCACUGCUACUUUACUAAAUGUUCACUGUAAUUUAAGUUACUAGAUUUUGGGGCAAUGAGCGUUUGCAUGCAGGCCAUUACUUUUUUUUCCCGACAACACAUUUAUGGAAAUGAACAUCAAACAAAUAAUAGAUAAGUACAUUUGACGAUAAUUAGUCUAUCAAUGGCAUUCUCAAAUACCAAGUGACAGACUUGAAUACUUUGAUGUAUAAUGAUAAUUAAGUAGUGGUAGGAAUUUUAAAGUUUUACUAUAUAUGCAUUAUGGUCUAUUUGGUUGCCUGCAUAUUUGCAUAACCCCUUAUCCAGGGCCCCGCAGUGCAAUUGGUCCCUGUUUGGUUACCUUCACAGGUCCAUAUGCAGGCUAGCACUGUCCUCAAAGCAAGCUCAGCAUGCCACUAUUCAGCCAAAUCCUUCCUGUCCAGCUAUGCACCCUUCCUCUUGCACCCGCACUCAUUCCAAGACACAGUCCAGCCACUUAUGCAGGAAACCAAUCACACACAUAGCAUUGUACAGCUUCCUGUCUAGGCAAACGAAACAACAUCAAAUUGCAUUGCAUUGUCCAGGUUAAGAGUAUGAUGCAUAACCUCUAAUGCAAUGCAAUACUAAUGCGAGUAACCAGUCAGAACCUAUGAGUGGUACAAAAUAUUUGUGGUUCACAUAGUGUUGUUGGGUAUCUGUCAUUUUAGUUAUUGGAUUUUUGUAUGAUACCACAUUAUUAUUCUUUUUGGUGUUUCUAUCUACAACUUUGUCACUUUGCAGAAAUACUCUUAGGGCUAGGUGGACAGAUUGUUGUCCUUAAAUUUUCUGGUUAAUUCGAUUCAUCACAUUAUUACCUCUAUCACAACCUUUUCCUUACAUGGUGUCUGAGAUGCAAACUCUGAAACUAAAAUUGUACUCUAUGGUUUGGUGUCUCUGAGUAAGUGAUCAAUUACAAGAAAUUCGAUGGCAUGAUUCCCAUAAUCAACAGGAAUAUUUCAUUGGCUGGAGCACUUAAAUAUAUUUAUGGGCAUUUAGCACCAGAAUUCCUAGUUCCAUUGAUUCUUUGAUUCAUGUUGGGCAACUCAAUAGGUUUAGUUCCAAUAGGUUGCCUACAAAUUCAUGUCCUUCUGAUGUGGCGUGAAUUGCUUAUGUGUUAUGCAACUUGUUUGUAAAAUACCAUGCUCAACUGUGACAAUAUUGGCAAAGGAUUGGUUUGGUGUUCUUGAAAGAACAUCUUUAGAUCCAAUAUAAUGGUAACCAUAAUUUGCAACAACUAUAAGGAAGAAAGUUAAGACACAUGAUAUCCACGUGAACAUCUAUAUUACGUAAUAUUUUUAAAAGGGCUAGUCUGGCGGAUGGGCUCUGCAUUGCUCCAGUAGGCGUCAGUUAGGUGUUGCUACACAUUUGUAUUUUUUUGUGGAUGGUUAGAGUAAUGCCAUGCUAAAUAAAGGAAAUGGAGAAUCUGAAAAAAAGAUAUUACCAUGCAUUCAUGAGUAAUUUGUUUGUAGUUCACCUUUUUCCAUCUCUGACUGUCCCAUUAUCACACAUAUCAAGCUCAAAAUAUCUCUACCUGGGAAAUAGCCAGGACAAAAUGCCUAGGUGGUAGCAACACCUAGCGCUAUUGCCACCUUUUUAAACAGAAAUAUUACAUAUGGCCCACAGGUGAGGCUACAAUGCUGGUGUAGUGUAUCAGUCUGAAACUUCACCACUGUGCAAGCCAACUUGCAGUGAGAGAGCAUAGGCCUGACUGUUUACUGCUUUUGUUAUGAGUUAGUACAGAUAGUGUUGGGCCUCAUGGGUUAGUAAUUUCUUGUCUACCAGACUACCAGUUCAUGUAACAGAACUAUUUGACAUUUUAAAUCUCAGCUUGCAUAUUUGUAAAGAACUUUUCACGUUUACAAUUGAUCAGCUCCUCUUUAUUAUAUCCUAUGCAUUGAAUAAAUUUUCUGUUUCAUGCAGAUCUCCCUGUGAUUUUUUGUAUUCUUUGUGAGACCAUAAAUUUUGCAUGAAUUGGUCAUCAUUAGUGGUUCCAUCAUAAAUGGGCCACAUUAUUCCAUGUACCAAAGACUACCUUGAAAUGGCAAUGACAUUUUGAUAUGAUGUGCUCAUCCUACUUGAUUAUAGACAAUACCAACUCGGGAAUCAAUUAGCAAACAAAAACACAGCUUAGGCUCUGGUGGUCUUUUGGUCAAGUUUCCUUUAGCCUUCUAGGGGGUGUGAGUGGGUGUUGGGUUGGGCUUCUCUAGUUCGGCCAUUGUACUCUUUUCUCUAUCUUAAUAAAAUGACAUGCAACUCUCCUGUUUGAAAACAAAAUACCUGUAAAUGCCUGAGUUGGUCUUUGUUGUUUCUUUUGUGCCAUGCAAAUAAACUGUUAUUUUCAAAUGCCUUUUGCAAUUCCAGGAGCGGCAUAUGCCGCUGGAGUUGUUAUAUGGUCAAAGAAUUGAUGAUUUAUGUGUGGCAAGGUGCAUGCCUAAUUGCUAGAUUUUAGCAAUAAGGCAAUUGCUGCAGAAGGUUCUUCCAUAAUGUGAUACCUGGCAUCUUUUAGUGGCUACAAAGUUCACUUUGGCUUCAGUUCAAACCCCAUCAUAUUGCUGCUGGGGCUGCAUUCCUUGCUGCAAGGUUCCUCCACUUUGACAUCACAUUCCAUCCAAAUUUCUGGCAUGAAUUCAAGACAAGUCCAUACUUUGUUCAAGAUGUUGUCCAGCAGUUGAAGGAGCUACUUUAGGAUACAAUAUUCAAUAUAUUUGCAUAAUACACAGAGAUCCUCUUAGUUUAUAUGUUGUAGUGAGUAGUAACCACUGCCAAAAGUACGAACACAUUGGGAUGUGGUCACUUUCAUCCAUUACUGAACAUCUUUCAUUUGGUUUUACAAGAGUGCUUCUAUGUACAAAAGGGGAAGAUCUUAUUCAAAAGUUGCCCUUGAAGUUUUUGGGAAGUAAAAGCAAACACUCUUUAUUAGUAGAAGAAUUUGUGAUGCUUGAAAAUGUUUAUGGAAUUCCUUUUAGUCUGCA